rnacentral:tRNA from 2 species
UGUUUUAUAGUUUAAUAAAAACAUUAAUUUUGUAAAUUAAAAAUUUAACUAUAAUAUUAAUAUAACAA